rfam:Enterococcus casseliflavus EC20, complete genome.
ACACAUGCAGUGAGAAGAAGAGUACGAUCCCCCCUUUCUUUCAAGAGAGCUCGGAACUGGUGGAAACGAGUAAGGAAGACGAUCCGAAGAUGACCUUUGAGCAUUCGUGGACGAACAAUCCCCGACGGAGAAAGCCCGAUAGCGCAAUGCAGUUUAUUUGAUGAACUGACUGAGGUUUUUUGUUUCAGCAAAAAACAAAUGAAGGUGGUACCGCGAAAUGAAUGAUCGUCCUUCCC